GCCGGGAUGGCGGAAUUGGUAGACGCACGGGAUUCAAAAUCCCGCGAUGGUAACAUCAUGGGGGUUCGAUUCCCCCUCCCGGCACCA
rnacentral:tRNA from 1 species